GGGGAUUUGGUGUAGGGGAAUCACGUCUGCUUUGCAUCUUCGCUUCUGCAGAAGGUCGGGGGUUCAAAUCCCUCAGUCUCCA
rnacentral:tRNA from 10 species